UGAUGGAGAGUUUGAUCCUGGCUCAGGGACAACGCUGGCGGCGUGCCUAAUGCAUGCAAGUCGGACGGGAGCCGCGCAAGCGGUCGACCGUGGCGGACGGGUGCGGAACACGUGGGGAACCUGCCCGCACGCGGGGGACAACCCUGGGAAACUGGGGCUAAGACCCCAUAGGCUCGCGUGGCGGUAGGCUAGGCGAGCAAAGGCCGGGAGGCCGCGUGCGGAGGGCCCUGCGGCCUAUCAGCUAGACGGUGGGGUAACGGCCCACCGUGGCGAUGACGGGUCGCUGGUCUGAGAGGACGGCCAGCCACACGGGGACUGAGACACGGCCCCGACUCCUACGGGAGGCAGCAGCAGGGAAUCUUCCGCAAUGGGCGCAAGCCUGACGGAGCGACGCCGCGUGGAGGAUGACGCCCUUCGGGGUGUAAACUCCUGUUCGGGGGGACGAAGGGAGUGACGGUACCCCCGGAGCAAGCCCCGGCUAACUACGUGCCAGCAGCCGCGGUAACACGUAGGGGGCGAGCGUUGCCCGGAAUCACUGGGCGUAAAGGGCGCGUAGGCGGCCUGGCGCGCCGCUCGUGAAAGCCCCCGGCUCAACCGGGGAGGGUCGGGCGGGACGGCCGGGCUCGAGGGCGGGAGAGGCGGGUGGAAUUCCCGGUGUAGCGGUGAAAUGCGUAGAGAUCGGGAGGAACACCGGUGGCGAAGGCGGCCCGCUGGCCCGCUGCUGACGCUGAGGCGCGAAGGCGUGGGGAGCGAACCGGAUUAGAUACCCGGGUAGUCCACGCAGUAAACGCUGUGGGCGAGGUGUGGGUGGUGUUGACCCCAUCCGUGCCGGCGCGAACGCAGUAAGCCCACCGCCUGGGGAGUACGGCCGCAAGGCUAAAACUCAAAGGAAUUGACGGGGGCCCGCACAAGCAGCGGAGCGUGUGGUUUAAUUCGACGCAACGCGCAGAACCUUACCAGGGCUUGACAUGCCCCGGGACCUGGCUGAAAGGCUGGGGUGCCCUUCGGGGAGCCGGGGCACCGGUGCUGCAUGGCUGUCGUCAGCUCGUGCCGUGAGGUGUUGGGUUAAGUCCCGCAACGAGCGCAACCCUCGGGGCCAGUUACGCGGGGUGUCUGGCCCGACUGCCGGGCGCAACCCGGAGGAAGGGGGGG
rnacentral:rRNA from 1 species